rnacentral:rRNA from 1 species
UACGGGGGGGGCAAGCGUUGUUCGGAAUUACUGGGCGUAAAGGGCUCGUAGGCGCCAUCUCAAGUCGGACGUGGAAAUCCCCAGGCCUUAACUUGGGAACUGCGUCCGAUACUGGAUGGCUUGAGUGCGGGAGAGGGAUGUGGAAUUCCAGGUGUAGCGGUGAAAUGCGCAGAUAUCAGGAGGAACACCCGUGGCGAAGGCGGUUCUCUGGGACGGUACUGACGCUGGAGACGCGAAAGCGUGGGGAGCAAACAGG